AAGGACCUCAACAGAGGCCUAUUAAAAAUUUGAAAACUUGCUCUCGUUGAGAGUCGAACUCAAGACCUCUCGCUUACUAAACGGGUGCUCUAACCAACUGAGCUACGAGAGCUUAUUGGAAAAUAUGCCAUUCAAAUUAUAAGUAUUCAAAAUAUUUUCCUGGGAAAAUUGGCGGGUGUCUCCUCAAGCUGAACGGUAAGAGCCUGAGAGGCAGUUAGUUAAGAAUUCUCAAGUGUGAUUCGGAAAUGUGAGAGACACGUGGCGUUCUGCAUUCUCUUCUCUUCGCUGAGGUAGUUAGGGUUUUACUUACCAGUGUGUCUGAACACUGAACUGAACUGAAUAGAAUUCAAGAAUGGAACCCGAUCCUUCCUUUACUUUCAGCAGCACUGAUGUUCAAUCUCUUGCCGAUCUGCUCGCAGAUCUGGUCCUCGGUGAGAAAUCGGUGGAUGAUGAUUUGAGGCCGAAGCAGGAGUUUAUGUGCCCUUUUUGCGGCGAAAUUCACGACGCCGAUGCACUUAGCUACCACAUUCAUGAUCAGCAUCCCCGGCAUCUCACCAAUGGGGACUGUCCAAUUUGUGAAGACUCGUUUGGGAUGGAACUUGUCGGUCAUAUUGCUAAAGAACAUGGAGAUCUUCUGAAAAUAUCCUUUAGAAGCUGGGAUUCUUUCCAUUUUUUGGUUAUUUUUAGUUUUCACCUGCUGCUGAAUUGGAUCCACUCUUAUUUAAUUGCACCAGCCACAUUAAUCCGGGGAUAUAUUUUGAUAUGAAAUUACGUGCAGCGCAAAAGAAGGUACAGAACUGGAGGCCCGAAUCCUACAUCGAGACAAGAACUGGAUGAAGAAAUACGGAAACACCUAUUAAGAGAUUUUUCAUGCAUAGCUCCCUCUGAGCUUGAUCCUUUGCUCUCAUCAUUUAUUUCCACCCGAGUUUUAGCUGACGAACAAUGCAGUGCACAAGUACAACCUUCUCCAUUGGAAGCUAUCGAAAUGCAAAGUUUAGAAGACGAUUUCUUGGAAAGGGAACCUGAACCGUUGCAACCAUUGGACAACCAUCUAGCAGAGAAAGAUCCAAGGUUUGAGUUCGUUCAGAGGUUACUGAUGUCUGCUAUUCUUGAUAAUAACUUACCAAUGAAAUUGUAGCUAGUUCUGACGUUAUUGAGGGAGGGGGUUUAUGCUCAUUGAUAGAGUGAAUAUGUAGCAGAAGGAUUGAAUGUGUCCAUAAUGUAACUAGACUUAUCGGCAAUUGUUCAUAUAAAUGCAAUUAAUAGUAUUUUGAUUUUUGAUUGUCA